GACUGAGAUUAUAGAUAUCACAUGUGUGCUAGGGAAUUGCUGCAGGCAUUUUACCAAGUGAGCCUCAGAGGGGCUUCUCUGGGGAAUUAUUUAAUGUCAUCCACAAUUGUUAAACUCUUCGAUAUUAAAGAAUGACUCUAACAAUGAAACAUAGUGGAUGGACCAGUCUUAAUUCACCCCACAGAUCACCCAACAGCAAAGAUUGCCCUGAGAAGUUUGACUGGUGCAUCUGCAAACUUAGUGCCUACAUAUGGUCUUGAACACAGGAAAAAUCUGCCCGAGAAUCUAGAAGAAAAAAGAGACUGACAAGAAAAAUGGAUAGCUCAGAAAUCCUUAGAAAGCAUUAUUGUAUACACUAAAAUAAAUGUAGAAUUGCAACCUGAGACCA
rnacentral:lncRNA from 1 species